rnacentral:rRNA from 1 species
GACGAACGCUGGCGGCGUGCCUAAUACAUGCAAGUCGAACGCAGUGGGGACGGGUGAGUAACACGUGGGUAACCUCCCAUCAGAGGGGAUAACACUUGGAAACAGGUUCUAAACCGAUAUUGAUGGAUCUACCCGCGGUGCUUUAGCUAGUUGGUGAGGUAACGGCGUACCAAGGCCACGAUGCAUAGCAGACCUGUGAGGGUGAUCGGCCACACUGGGACGGAGACACGGCCCAGACUCCUACGGAAGGCAGCAGUAGGGAAUCUUCGGCAAUGGGCGAAAGUCUGACCGAGCAACGCCGGGUGAGUGAAGAAGGUUUUGGGAUCGUAAAACUCUGUUGUUAGAGAAGCGGUAUCUAACCAGAAAGCCACGGCUAACUACGUGCCAGCAGCCGCGGUAAUUC